CUUGCCCAAAUACUUGCACCAGAGGCAUGGCUUGGUGUUUGGUGUUUGCUGCAGUAGCUCUCCUUCCCAAGGAUGCACCUCGCUGCCCUGACUGCUCAACUCUUUUCUCUCCCUCUCUCUCUUGCUCUUCCUUUUCCCCCCUCGUGUGGCACUGACCCAAGCAGACCAAGCCAGGCGUCAUUCAGCCUCUUUCUCGAGUGCGACAAAACGCUGCCUCGCAUAACUCGGAGGACGGGGACAGCCCCAAUCCCUUCCAGCAACCCGAGCCAUGCUCCACUGCCCAGAACUCUCCAAAGCCACCAUCACCACCCUCUCCCGAUGAGAUUCCCAUCAACGUCAAGCAAGCAUACAAGACUUUUGCAGCAGUGCCCUUGUCACACCCUCUGCUUGAGACACAGGUAACUGCUGCUGCUUGGGGGCAACGACAGCCAAACAGUGGAACACAGGGAAGAUGGAGCAUUGCAAGUGCCUGAUGGAAAGGGACCUUGGAGCACUGUUGGCUGAAUAUGAGCCAGCAGCACGCCCAGGUGGCCAAGAAGGCCAAUGGCAUCCUGGCUUGGGUCAGGAAUGGU
rnacentral:lncRNA from 1 species